rnacentral:rRNA from 1 species
GUUUGAUCCUGGCUCAGAGCGAACGCUGGCGGCAGGCCUAACACAUGCAAGUCGAACGGACCCUUCGGGGUUAGUGGCGGACGGGUGAGUAACACGUGCGGAACGUGCCUUUAGGUUCGGAAUAGCUCCUGGAAACGGGUGGUAAUGCCGAAUGUGCCCUUCGGGGGAAAGAUUUAUCGCCUUAGAGCGGCCCGUGUCUGAUUAGCUAGUUGGUGAGGUAAAGGCUCACCAAGGCUACGAUCAGUAGCUGGUCUGAGAGGAUGACCAGCCACAUUGGGACUGAGACACGGCCCAAACUCCUACGGGAGGCAGCAGUGGGGAAUCUUGCGCAAUGGGCGAAAGCCUGACGCAGCCAUGCCGCGUGAAUGAUGAAGGUCUUAGGAUUGUAAAAUUCUUUCAGUAGGGACGAUAAUGACGGUACCUACAGAAGAAGCCCCGGCUAACUUCGUGCCAGCAGCCGCGGUAAUACGAAGGGGGCUAGCGUUGCUCGGAAUUACUGGGCGUAAAGGGAGCGUAGGCGGACAUUUAAGUCAGGGGUGAAAUCCCAGAGCUCAACUCUGGAACUGCCUUUGAUACUGGGUGUCUUGAGUGUGAUAGAGGUAUGUGGAACUCCGAGUGUAGAGGUGAAAUUCGUAGAUAUUCGGAAGAACACCAGUGGCGAAGGCGACAUACUGGAUCAUUACUGACGCUGAGGCUCGAAAGCGUGGGGAGCAAACAGGAUUAGAUACCCUGGUAGUCCACGCCGUAAGCGAUGAUUGCUAGUUGUCGGGAUGUUUACAUCUCGGUGACGCAGCUAACGCAUUAAGCAAUCCGCCUGGGGAGUACGGUCGCAAGAUUAAAACUCAAAGGAAUUGACG